GACGAACGCUGGCGGCGUGCUUAACACAUGCAAGUCGAACGGAAAGGCCUCUUUCGGGGGGUACUCGAGUGGCGAACGGGUGAGUAACACGUGAGUAACCUGCCCUUGACUUUGGGAUAACUUCAGGAAACUGGGGCUAAUACCGGACAGGAGCUCCUGCUGCACGGUGGGGGCUGUAAAGUUUCGGCGGUUGGGGAUGGACUCGCGGCGUAUCAGCUUGUUGGUGGGGUAGUGGCUUACCGAGGCCUUGACGGGUAGCCGGCCUGAGAGGGUGACCGGCCACAUUGAGACUGAGAUGCGGCCCAGACUCCUACGGGAGGCAGCAGUGCGGAAUAUUGCACAAUGGGUGGCAGCCGGGUGCAGCAACGCCGUGUGCGGGAUGACGGCCUUCGGGUUGUAAACCGCUUUCGCUCGUGACGAAGCUUUGUGUGACGGUAGUGGGUAAAGAAGCACCGGCUAACUACGUG
rnacentral:rRNA from 1 species